UGCAGCCGGGGAGUUAGCGGUGCCCUAUUCCUGCAAUCCGCUAUAGCAGGGGUGAUGGUUGGUUUCGGGUUGUCUCUUGUAGAGCUGCCCUUGGUAAGUGGCGUUGAUGUUUGGGUCUUGCGCGACAGAAAUCUAUGAACCGUGUCAGGUCGGGAACGAAGCAGCACUAAGUAGAAUCUUUUGUGCGCCGCAAGGUCGCCUGGACUGAGUUAACUGCCAAGGUAACGU
rnacentral:SRP_RNA from 1 species